GAGUUUGAUCCUGGCUCAGAUUGAACGCUGGCGGCAGGCCUAACACAUGCAAGUCGAGCGGAAACGAGUUAACUGAACCUUCGGGGAACGUUAACGGCGUCGAGCGGCGGACGGGUGAGUAAUGCCUGGGAAAUUGCCCUGAUGUGGGGGAUAACCAUUGGAAACGAUGGCUAAUACCGCAUAAUAGCUUCGGCUCAAAGAGGGGGACCUUCGGGCCUCUCGCGUCAGGAUAUGCCCAGGUGGGAUUAGCUAGUUGGUGAGGUAAUGGCUCACCAAGGCGACGAUCCCUAGCUGGUCUGAGAGGAUGAUCAGCCACACUGGAACUGAGACACGGUCCAGACUCCUACGGGAGGCAGCAGUGGGGAAUAUUGCACAAUGGGCGCAAGCCUGAUGCAGCCAUGCCGCGUGUAUGAAGAAGGCCUUCGGGUUGUAAAGUACUUUCAGCAGUGAGGAAGGUGGGUAUGUUAAUAGCAUACUCAUUUGACGUUAGCUGCAGAAGAAGCACCGGCUAACUCCGUGCCAGCAGCCGCGGUAAUACGGAGGGUGCGAGCGUUAAUCGGAAUUACUGGGCGUAAAGCGCAUGCAGGUGGUUUGUUAAGUCAGAUGUGAAAGCCCCGGGGCUCAACCUCGG
rnacentral:rRNA from 1 species